AUGGAAAUUAGCCUCUGGAGGGUGGAAACCAUGGCUUACAACAUGAAGGCAGAAGAAAAUAUGUUUCUAGAUCUCCUCAAACCAGAUCUUUCAUCAGAUGUUAAACAUAUGCAGUGGACACGGAUUAGUUGUACACAAAGCAUCCUGUUCAUUUGUUGUUAUGAUGGAACCGUCCAUGGCUUAAAUUUGAAACAUGAUGAAAUGCUGCUUUCCUGCAACUUAUCAUCAACGUUCAUUGUGUGGGACAAUGCUGAUCUAAUUCUAGUCUCAAAAAUCAUCACUCUGUCAAGUAGUUUGGAUGGAAAUGAAAUUUUGAUCGCAAUGUUGAAAGGUUUCCAUAUCGUUGUUUCAUCCGUCAAAAUAGAGAGUUCUACUCCUGCUCAGCCAGCAUUGCUCCAUAAAUUCUCCACGCAAAUCACAGGAUUAGACAAAAUUAACGAUGAACAUUUAAUUUGCGGAUUAUGGAAUGGUGCUGUUUAUUUAAUUUCUGUGAAAAACGGUUUAUUAACUGUAGAUGCCAUUGAAAAAGAUAUCUCUUAUGCAAAUUAUUGCUGCCAAGGCCUUGCACUUUCAAGGAAUGGAGCGUUUGCAGUUUUAUGCAACAGCGUUUCUAAGUUUUUUGACCACUCCAACCUGCGGCAAACAGCACAUUUUUACCUAAUGGCAUUACCCAAAGAAAUUAUUGACCCAGCGUUACUAAUCGAAUCCUCUUUGAAGUCAAAAUCAUCAACUGUGAAUUCAAUUGCUGAUUGUUUAGCAUCAUACAGGUUCAGUAUUGUUUCUAAGGAACAACCAAUACCACAAUACCUGGAAAAGCUGGAUGAUUUAUGUGCUUUGCCGGAUAAUGUGCUCCAAAUUUACCUUCGAUUAUUUCACUUUUUAGCUCCGUGUGAUCCUCUUGAAAGUGAAAAAUGGAGAAAACUGUCGAAUCUCAUCACAACUGUCCUUUAUGCCCGAUUUUUCACUCGCAAGAAAGUUUCCAAUCCUGUGGUGAUUCAAUGGCUGUACAAGACAGUCAAAACUUUGGAUAGCAGUUUCAAGGAGUUAAUAGCAGCCUGUGAACAGUUGGUCUCCUCAGCUGGUAAUCAGAAAGCUGUAUGUGUGUUCUGUGAUGGAGAUGUUAGCGAUGUAAGCUUUGACCACUUUAGUUGCAGUUCUGGCCAUAAAGUUCCUAUUUGCGCCUUUAGUUUCCAGCCUUGUUUAGUCAUUCCGUAUUGUAUCUGUGAUGGUUGUGGUGCCAUAGCUCUCCAAGAAUCAGUAUCAUCUAUCGUGGAGCACUGUGUGAUCUGUGGAGGCGACUUUCAGAUAGAUCUCAUUGUUUCAGAAACUCAUAUCUAUGAUGGAGAAGCAGAUGAUGCGGAUCAACCGCGUGAAGAGACAGAAGUUGUCCAUGCUAGCACCAAGUUUCAUGCGCAGGUGGAAGAAGAAAAACUUGACGACCCUCUGGCCGAUCCGCUAAUGUGGAUCUCCCCAUCAGCACGGGUUCGCCGUUCCUGAUCUAUAGCUGACUUCGCGCUUCAUUUGUCAUAUUUUUAAGUUAUAUUUGUUCUAUAUUUGUUUUUUCUCUCCAAUUUGCUUGUUUUUUCUGCCUUUCUUUCUUUCACUCUUUGGGAAAUGCAUCCUAUUCCUGCUCAUAUUGCCAACUUACCAACUGAAUAAUGUCUACGAACCAUAUGUUCAAACUGUUGGCCUACAUUAUUCCUGUCUCUGUUUUUACAUUUUUUGUUAAUUUUUCCCCAUCAAAAUCUGAAGUUUUUUCAGUCAAAACAAAAGCAUUGUUUCUUUGGUCUUGAAUACAUAUUUCUCCGAGAGAACAGUACUGAGCGAAAAUUGAAAUUCGUAAAUCGCAUUGACGCAUUGGUCUUGAAAAUCUAUGCUCUGUUCCAAUUAAUUUUCCGACUAUCCCCAUUUCUUUUUUAACACAUUACCUAAUCUUUAAAGUUAACCAUUUCUUGGGAGAUCCAAGUUUAGUAAUUUUCGGUGAUUGUAAAGAACUGCACAUAAAUUUGUAAAUAUUGUUAUCUUAGAGUUAAGUCAAUGUUGCCAAACGAAGAAUCUCAAAUUAUUUUUUUACCUUUGAAGUAAGAUAAUUUCUUGUGUGUAGAGCAUUUUUUUUUAGGAAUCUAGGUUAAAGUUCAAAGUCUUUUGAGUGAUCCGUAGUCGCUAAACAUUGUGAAUUGAGAUUUAUGUCCCUUAAUUUUCUGUUUGUUCCUUCUAUUCUGAGCGUUUGAAGGAAAAGACACGCAAAAGUAUACGAUAUGUAACAUACUAUAUUCCAGUGUGCGUGCUUGUUCAUUUUUAUAGCACUUGAGAUCGGUACAUAAACCAAGUAACCAAAAUACCAAGUAUUACAAAUAAGUUAUCUGCUCGUGCUGUUUCAAAAAAUCCAUAAACGGAAGGUGGUUAUAAGAUUGUAACUGAGAGACUAUAUUUGAAUGGUUAGUUUAGGGCUAUGAGAAUAAGUAAAAACGUUUUUAAAAUAAACCGUGCACAUUAAGCCUUUAAACAUGUUUGGUCCCACAUUUAUUUUAGAAUAAAUCUCGACUCUUCGGAUCAGCCAAUAAAUAGUUUUAACGAACAUUUGAAGUACUUGAGUCAUUUGUAGGUUGUCUGUUGAGUUAUUUUUUGAAGAUAUAAUUUCACGAUAUCGUAGCAUGUCAAAAUUUUCGGAAAGAACCUUUUUCUCUAUCCUGAGAAACACAUCGGGGGAAAAGUGGAAGAAAUACUUUUUGCAGCUGGAAAAAAAAAUCCCAAACCACUUUUUUCAUAACUUUACGUGGCGGGACAAGCUGCCAGAUGUGUAACAGAAUAUUUUAAAGGAUUCUUUCAGUGUGACUCAAUAUACACUGAAAAAAAGUUCUGUUGUCACAAACCAGAAUUUCUGGUUAUAUUUCGCAACCAGAUUUUCCGGUUGAUUUAACCAGAAUUACAGUUGACUCAACCAGAAUUUGGUAGAGUCAACCUGACGUCUGGUUGAGUCAACUGUAAUUCUGGUUGAAUCAACCGGAAAAUCUGGUUGCGAAAUACAACCAGAAAUUCUGGUUUGUGACAACAGAACUUUUUUUCAGUGUAGACUCAUUACAUUGCUGCCCAAGUCUUCUCUGAGAACUGAACAAUUUUGUUUGUACGUACAUUUUUAACUAAAUUGCGAAGGGCGUCUACGUGCCGAAACUCUAUUUUUGAAAGAUUUAUCAAUAUAUUUUAAAAGAUAUUUGUCCAGCCUCCCACCGAGAUUCUGUCUCAAUACUACGCAUGCGGUAUUGUCGCCCUCCUGACUUAAAGACGUAACUACACUUCGGGAUGAGCCCUGUUGCACUUAUAUCUCAAUGCUUUCCCGGGCUCAUAUCGAAGUGUACAUACGCCCUUUUGUCACCUAAGCGACGAUUCGAAUACCUAUUUACUUACUACGAGGCUCGACUGCGACCUCAUACUUGCCUCCUGCCUUUGGCUUAUUUCCAUUUUAAGAACUUUAUUAAUUUGAGUCCACUUAUUUGAUUCUUCAAAAUUUCAUUCCUACUAGCCAUCUCGCUAAUUCCCUAAGUACUUUUUUCCAUUAAAGUUGAAAGAGAUUUUCUCCAUUGUUUUGUCAAUUAAAUUUACUGUCGUGUCACUUGUCAGAUAUCUCUUUAGAACUAUUUUAGAUGAAUGUCUCGUUCUAUGUCCUUCCCAGAUUGUUUUUUAUCAUUAUUAUUAUUAUUUUUUUGGCAAUUACCGACCAUUUAAAUUGAAGCUAUAAUUAAUUAAGUAUCUCGCAUUUGCUCUCAAAGUUUUUGAUUAUUUUCUUAUCGUUCGCCCAACACUUCUUGGUUAUUUCGUCUCUCUUCCAUGAAUUUUUAUUAUUGACUUUUUCGUUACUAUUUUAAGUGUCAGUUAAAUUUCUCUCUCAUUAAUUUUUUUUAUUUUUUACUUUUUGAUACUUUUGAAUGUUUACUAUUUUUCAUUAUUAUUGGUGAUUUACUUCGGGCUGGAUUAGCUUGUGCGUAUCAUUUUUUGAUAUCAGUUGAUCUGCGUUCGAUUUUUUUUUAUUUUUUUUGGAUUUUUUUCCCUCAUCAUUUCCUUUCUCUCAAACAACAACAGAGAGCGACUUUUAGGAUCUUUUUUAGUUUUUGAUUGUUAUGUAUUACAUUCUCGUAACUCCAACCUCAGUGCUUAAGGGUUUGUGCAAAAGUUACAAAGUUUUUAAUCUCGUUGUCAGUUUUCAAAUUUCUGUGUCAAAGUCACCCUCUGUUUUUCUUAAUUUUUUCAAUUUGUGAGAAAACGUUACUCAAAUAAAUUACCAAAUGACAGUUCCACCUCUCUCGCCAUUAUUUACAUAACUCUUGAAAAAACCUAAUUUAACAGUAUGAGCAAUUGACUACAUGCAUGUCUAAAUUAACAUUGACCAAUAAAAGGGGUAUUUUAUAGUUUUUAUU
rnacentral:lncRNA from 1 species